GAAUCCCUAUAGCAAGUUGCUCCCUCCUGGUUUCCAGAUAGCCUGUGGUUUUCCAAGCAGGACGCUACUGCAGCUGUGGCAAGGGUUGUAAGCAGCAGCCUCUUUCGAUAUUCCUAAGGUGAAAGGGGGCCUGCCUUCCUGGGGGCCCCAUCCUUCUGUCAAUCUGGGGCUCCCUGAAGAUGCACAAGAGGAAACCAAGUUAACAGGCCAGCGGCAUCCUUAAUCUCCAACCAGGAAGCAUUUCAACGGUGAGGAAUCAUGGGUUAUAAUGUAACUGAUUAUAAGGAAGAUGACCAUUCACAUCCUUCAGUAAGUCUGAGGUCCUACGGAGAAGACCUUAAGGCUCUUGGGAAGAGACCGUGCUGCCGCACUGCACUGCAGCUGAUGAUCUCCUGCAGGGAGAAGCUGCCUACAGCUUCCUGAAGAGGAUUGGAAAAGCACAAAGAAGGUGAGGAUUGGUUUAGGGCAUGGUGGGACAC
rnacentral:lncRNA from 1 species